GCAGCGAUGGCCGAGUGGUUAAGGUGCCAGGCUGCUAACUUGGUGGGUUUAUCCCGCGGGAGUUCGAACCUCCCUCGCUGCG